rnacentral:tRNA from 1 species
GCUUCCAUAGUUCAACGGAUAGAACACAAGCCUCCGAAGCUUGAGAUCCAGGUUCGAUUCCUGGUGGAAGCG